CCAUCGGUGGUUCAGUGGUAGAAUGCUCGCCUGCCACACGGGCGGCCCGGGUUCGAUUCCCGGCUGAUGCA